rnacentral:tRNA from 1 species
CGGUAUGUAGCGCAGCUUGGUAGCGCACUGUCAUGGGGUGUCAGGGGUCAGAAGUUCAAAUCUUCUCAUACCGACCA